CUUACAGAGAUCUUUGGCAUUCUGUCCACCUCCCCUACCUAUGUAUAUGUGUAUUAUCUACGUUGUGUUUUGUGAGGGGGAGGUGGGCAUACUGCCAACAGAGAUCUGUUAG
rnacentral:pre_miRNA from 14 species